rnacentral:lncRNA from 1 species
GCCGGAGCAUGUUGAUAAAGUAUAGUUUUCCGGUUUAUCUUUGACGUCGAAAAGAUUGAAGAAUUCGGGCGAUGCUAGUGACCGGUUGCUUUGGUCAUCAAUGAUGGCGUACAUGCGAAUAACUUUGUACUGGUUAUCUUUGUGAUAAACAUUCACAGGAAGUAUUUUAGCACAAGAUUUCCCACUAUAUGUAUCUUUGCAGAUCUCAGUACAGGUAGAGUUAACUGAGGUUGCCUUAGUUUCAGCCGAUUCUAUAGGCUCCCCGCCGUAGGCUUGCUUAGGCGAGCUAGACUGCGAACUUGUAGGUUGCUGUGGUCUAGUGAUGUGAAGUGCGGUAGUGUGUUGUUUACUUCCACAUUCUUUACAACUUAUGCUUGCAUUGCAAUCCCGGCUUCUAUGUGUGGUAGAAUCACAACACUUGUAACAUACAUUGUUUUCUUUCAAAAGACCUUUGCGCUCCUCUAUUGACUUGGCUCGGAACGCUCGACAUUCAUUUAAGGAAUGCUUUGUAUUGUGCAGAAUACAAAGACCUUGUUUGCUGGCGUCUCUAGAUUGCUGCUCAACUGCUGUUUUAUGAGCACCAACUUUAGUCCUAGGGUAAGGCGUAGACCUUGGCGCAGCACCUUUUGUAUUUGGUGUGGCUUUUGACCCAAAGAUGAACCCAGGAUCGUUCUUUGUUUUGCUGAUUUCCCUGAUGUAGGCAGAGAAUUCUGUGAAAGGUGGAAAGGCAACGUCAUAUUUAGCCUUGUAUCUUGUAGCCCUUGUGGUCCACUUUUCUUGGAGUCCGUACGGUAAUUUUUCAACAAUAGGAUUUAUCCCGGACGAGGAGUCAAAAUAUGCUAGCAAACAUCCCAGCUUGGGAUUUUCCUUGUGAUAUUCUAUUUCUGAUAGAAUGUCAGACAGUUCGUAGAGACGUGCGUUGUCCUUAUUUGUUAAGGUAGGGAAUUUUUCAAGUUUACUCAUGAGAGAGGCUUCCAACAUUUCUGGAGCACCAUACCGCUCGUCAAGCCUCUUCCAUAAUCUCUGUAUACCUAUGGUAGGAUUAUUAGCGUUCGACGCUCUUAUGCUAAUGGCGUGUUUAGCAGACUCUGGACCGAGCCACUUGAUCAGUAAAUCGAUCUGUUCUGAGUCAGAGACUUGUAACUCAUCAGUCACGUUCUUGAAGCUUGCUUUCCAAGUAUGAAAUGACUCUGCCCGAUCGUUAAAGCUUGUUAAUCGGGAGAAAAGCAAGUCCUUGCGUAAAAGGAAUCUAGUUAUCUCUGAUGUAAAGUUGAUUUGUUGCUGGUGUGCAACAGGGAUCUCUUCUACUAUGCCUUGUUUUUGGUGUGAAACAGGGAUCUCUUCUAUAAAGUCUUGUUUUAUGCGUAAGACAGGGAUCGCUUCUUUAACACCCUGUUUUUGAUGUUCAGUAGGGCUCUCAUCUGAAAGACCUAAUUUUUGUAUGCCGGUUACUAAUCCCAGAUCUGGGAUAAAGGUAACUUCCGGUGACUUAGUAUCGGAAGGUAAGACAGCAGAUGUCUGUGACAGCAAGUUCAGUGCCGCGGACGGCACGAACGCUGGUGCUUCGUGGCUCAGCUCAAUUUUAACAGGAAAUUGCUUUUUCUUUUGAGGUGCUGUUACUUCCUUCACAGCUGUUGAUACAGGAAGUUUGUUGACAAAAUCUUGCACACGCUGGAGCGGGUCUUCCUUUUCGUCAGGUAGUUCGCUAAAGGCUUGACUAUCGUCGUAUUCCAGGAUACGAGCCUCGGCUUCUGCGGCUGCAGCUUCUUUCUGUGCUUCAAGAAGGUUAAAUUUGGCUUUAAGCUCGACCUUUUCCCGGCUUACUCGUGCGGCUUCUUGUUGCAUUUCAGCCUUCCUGCGCAUAGCCUCUUGUUUACGUUGAGCGACUUCUUGCUCCAUUUCUGCCUGUUUGCGUGCAGCUUCCUGUUCCAUUUCACCUUGUCUGAACAGGGCUUGUUCUUCUAACAUUGCUUCCUGUUGUAGGAUAAUGGCAUGUUUCUCUACAAAGGCUAUUUUAGACUUGGCAGCCUCUGCCUUGGCACGCUUUCUCCGUGCUAGGCUUGACAUGUCUGACACGUUAGAGCUACCACUGCGUGAGGUUUUCUUACCUUUUGAGGUCUUUGUUUUAGUGGAUUUGGACUUUGUUAGAGCGAGGCGCUGCUCGUGUAGUUUUUCCAUGACCAGUUCCACUUUGGACAGACGAAAAUCUAAAGAGAGUUUACACGCAUCUAUUUCUUUUUGACUCUCCAGUGUUCUGGUCCUUUUCAGAAAGUCAAGGUACUCAUCUGUGAGCCUACGAUAGUUAUUACAGGCUUUAACUAGUUUGUCCUGAGCUGUAAGGAGUUGCUGGAGCUCGUUAGGUGGCGUUGUUACUUCCAAUAACUUGGAUUCAAUGUCUGUCCAGAGAGCCUCUAGUUCCUGACAGAACUUGUCACGUUUUUCAGUGAAAGCUCCUUGUCCUUUUUCCGUGAGGUCACGAACUCGCCUAGCCUCGGGAAUUUCAUCUGACUGAGAUGUAUUAGACGGAUUUUCUAAUAUUUCAGGGACAUCUCCUUCUUGGGGCUGUACCUCUUCUUGUUGUUCCUCAUGAC